UAGGAAAUGGUACUUUAUUUCAUGCUAAGAGCAUCAUUUUGACCUUAAAUUAAGAUGGGUUUUGGCACAUAAUGAAUCUUGCAAAAAUGUUGAAGCUAAAAAUAAAUUUGAGCAUUUUCCACAGAAAAAUUGUAUGCAUGAAUGUUCAGAGUAUAGUAUUCAUAAUAGUCAAAAGUGGAAACAACCCAAAUGUCCAUCAGGUGAUAAUGGAUAAAUACAAUGUGGUGUAUCCAUAUGAUGGAAUAGUGCUAGUUAAUAAGCAAAACCAAAAUACUGAUCCUGCUACAACAUGCAUCUAGAUGAAAAAAGCCAGACACUUAAAGGCCAUGUAUUGUAGAAUUCCAUUCAUAUGAAAUGACUAGUAGAUUACUUGGUUGUCAGAAAUUAGGAGGAGGGGGAAGGGACUGCUAAUGAGUAUGGGUUUUUUUGGGGGGGAGGGUGAUAAAACGUUCUAAAGUGAGAUAAUGGUGAUGGUUACACAACUCUGUGAAUAUACUAAAACCCACUGAACUAUACACUUUAAAAGAGUGAAUUUUAUGGUAUGUGAAUUAGCUUAAUGUAGUUUUUUUAAAAUAAUGAAUUAGAACCAAAAUGUGAAAUCAGCCUGAAAGCUUAUUACCAAAUAUUUUCAAUAUCUCAUAGUACUUUUCAGGUCUCUGAUGAUAAAUGAGAUAUGGCAUCCUCAUGAAAUACGGCAUCUUUGUAAAAUGUAAAAUAUUUACAGCUGCAAGAGAUUUUUCCUUCAGUACAAACAAUGUAAUUUAGAUUCAGUUUUAAUAUAAUAACAAGCAUUUGCUGUCAAUUAGUCUUAAAUUUGGAGGCAUUUUCAUCAAUAUUACUUGCUUUAUGAAACAUAGUGAUUAAAAUUAAUUUUAAAUAGCAUUGUAUUUUAUUGAAAAUUAAAGUUCAUAAUUAUGACCAGAAAUAGAAUACAUCUGAUUUUGAUAUACUGUAAAUAUAAAAAAUUUCUUUACAAUUUCAAAUAAAAUCAGGUAGUUUGAAAAUUGGGGGUAGAUUAUCUAGAUAAAGAAGUUGACAAAACUAAAACAACUCAGUAAUGAGUUUGAUGUCCUUUAUUCAAGGGAAAAUAAUCUAUGGAUGUUUCUACAGUGUCUCAUAAGCACUGGAACACUCUUUCCCUUCCUGAGGGAUUUUGGUCAAGAGUGAGUUUUAUACAGUGUUAGAAGCUGUAUAGCCUUAACGGCAUGACUGCCCAGGAGGUUGGGGAUUGCCUUAUAAGGCCAGCAAGUCCUGUUUUCCAGGGUCAGGUGAGCUAGCUAAGCUGAACUGCAGGAUCGUGAUUGCUAUAUGUUAGGUUUCUUUGACAAGUGUUUCAUGUAAGUGCAGGCUGACUUAGAUUUAGGUUUGUGGCUUGGGCUGGGCCACUGGAGUGGCUUCCAAUUUUUGGGUUCUGAUAUACAAACUAACUUUAAAAGUACUUAACUAAAAAUAAGGAAUUCAAAUUAAAAUUACUUCCCAACAAUAAUUAUAAUCUUUCUUGUUUCAAUAAUAUUCUAAAAAAUCUAAAGUAAACAGAGAUUGAGACCAGAAAUGACCGUUGUUACACCCAUAUUGAAUUUGAUUGUUUUAAAUAUAUGUGAGAAUUCUGUAGUAAGAUAGUGCUGAUAAAAUUUUAAAUUCUGCUUUUAAAGAAUUUAAAUUAGGAUUAAUUAUGCAAAUGUUGAACAUAGUGGUUUUAAAGGGUCAGACCUAUAUAGUGUCUGAGUGGCUUAAUGGAGACAUUUAUGUGAGGCUUUUAGUUUUUAAUACAUACUAUCUAGUACUUGUUGAUUUUUUUCAUUGCAAGGAAGUAGUGAUUUAACAUAUGGCACAAUAAGAAAGAAUGAAACUUACUAAGAAACACUCCCCUACAUCUAAAAAAAUCUUGAAGAAUUUGGCUCGUUUGGUGUUGAAGAAGUAUUCAACUGUUGCAGAGAUCCCAUCAUUAAAGCAUAGUAAAUCUCAAAGUUAAUGACUAAGUAAUGGGAAUGGACUUUAUCAUAUAUAGCUAAUAAGAACGAUAUGAUACAGAUUCCCCAUCUUACCAAAAGACCUAUACAAAAAAGAACCCUGGGUGCUACAAUGCUUGAAAUUCAAUUCUCCAACAAUUUAAACAAAAAGAUUAAGAUAUGAUUAGAUAUUCACAGACUUGUGUGAAUUUAGCUUUUCCUUGUUUUCUUUCUUUCUAUUCUGCACUAAUGGAGAGAAGGGGAUGAUUACUCUGGACCACUUUAAGGGUAGGGCUAAAUGCCUGCCCCUGGCUUGGAUAGGGCUAUAAUUCGGGACAAAAAGCAAGAACUCCCAAGUUUUUAGCUUGGUGCAGUGUUACACAGGCAAGGACUAUACUUCCGAGCCACCACUGGAGCUGCAGCCAUGUGACUACCUUUUGGCCCAUGGGCUGUAAGUGGAAAUGAUAGCUAAAACUUCUGUGAAAUGCCCUUGAAAAGAAAAGGUAUGCUGUUUUUCCAUUUCCCAUUCCCAGAUGUAUCAGGAGCUGGAACAGCCAUCUUGGGCCAUGAAAACAGAAGCCACAUAUCAAGUGCAGCAGAUUAACCAGCCAGAAGGAGCCUGGGCCCCGAACACCUGAGGCUGCGCUGUCAGUCUUGAACUGAUUAUUCCUGGGCUGUUUCAGAAGAGAAAAAAAUAAACUUCCAUUUUGUUUAAGUCAUUAUUAUUUUGCCCUUAAAGCAACCAAACCUAUAUCCCAAGUAAUAUUUAUUUUCCAUUAUUUCCCCCAUAUAAUUAUAUACAAAUACACGUGUAUAUAUAUUUACAAAUAUAAAUAUUUUUAGUGUAAACAUGCACACACAAAUA